rnacentral:rRNA from 1 species
CGUGGGUAACCUGCCCAAGAGAUCGGGAUAACACCUGGAAACAGAUGCUAAUACCGGAUAACAACAGAUGAUGCCUAUCAACUGUUUAAAAGAUGGUUCUGCUAUCACUCUUGGAUGGACCUGCGGUGCAUUAGCUAGUUGGUAGGGUAACGGCCUACCGAGGCAUGAUGCAUAGCCGAGUUGANAGACUGAUCGGCCACAUUGGGACUGAGACACGGCCCAAACUCCUACGGGAGGCAGCAGCC